UGAAUCUGUCACCUCUGCUCUCUCUCCUCCAGGACUUCUCCCCUCCACUGGCCUCCUUUCCUCUGCGCCUUGUCUCCCAGUCUCCCUGUGUCAGGGAGGCCCCUCCAUUGUCAGCCAGCCGCAUCCUCAGCAGGAGCUCUGUGAUCCUCUCCUUUGCCUCCCCCUCCUUCCCUCUCCCUCCCUGAAGUUCAGAGCUGACAUCCUCCUAGGGAUCUGUGCAGGGUUUGUGGCAAGAGGCUGGACAGCCUGGAGCAGGGCUGCCAAGCCAGAGCCCCCCUUGGGUGGAAGGGCCUCUGUGACACCCAUUUUCUCUCUUUUUUGUCUGUCCUGGAUGCUGGCCACUGCCUGGAGGAAUGAGGCCUGCUCCCAGCCCAGGAAGGAGGAUCCAAGGAACUGGCUUAGAGACAGGGAGUGAGUUGCCUAAAGACACUUGCACGCAGCAUGGAGCAUGGGAGGAUUUCACCUGACUCCCAUUUCACAGAUGAGAAAAUAGGCAUCGGUGUUCCUGAAGACCAGCAUCUGCUAGGACAGAGGCUUCAUGGGAACCCCAACCUUCCCAAGGGCUAAGAGCACCCCCUGCAAGGCACUUCUCUUCAGGGAGAGGGUCCAUGUGGGCCUGACCUCCCCAGAGUAUCCAGGAGAGCAUCCUAUGGGUCUGAGAGGCAUUCUCAGGCAGGGUGAAAUCUUUUAUCACCACCUACUGAUAAAGAACAGAACUGUAACCCAGCUGUAUUAGACACCAGGAAUGAUGUCAAGCAAAAUUCUGUAAAAGUAAAAUUUUUACUCCUGGCCAAUAUGUAAACAUCACACCCAGCAAGCUUCUUGGUAUGCCAAUUUACACCUCCAGAUUUCAUGUUUGUAAGUCAUCCUAUGGGUGGAUUCUCUUCUGUGUUGCCAUGGAAAUGCACACAUGCCUACUAUGGGAAACUAAGGAAAGUGGGAUUUGGUUUACAGAGUUUGCUUGGUAGCCUAUUUCUAGGAAUUGGGCCAAAUUGAGUUUUCCUUUGUAAUGACACCAUUAUGCCUUGCUGACUGGGAGGUGGGUGCAGGCAAAGAUGAAUGACAGCUAAAGAAGCCCCAGGGAUUGGUCUCUGAUCCUCACCAUGGAGUCUCUCUGAUGGGUUAAAUAAAGGAGCUUAUAGAACUCA